CUUCCUACCGCUUGGCUGACUUGGGGUAAUUUAACUCCUUCUCUGCUAUAACACUUCUAUCUCAGUGUAUUGGCUUUAUCUGUGUAAUGGACAAGAAGAACUCUUUUGACUGUAACAAAGGUGAGCUCUGAUAUAGUGCUUUAGUGCACGGACUCAGAAAGUGGAUGAGCUAAGACAUUCAUGAAGCUGUGUAAGAGAGAAAGGCUCAUCACCUUUGCAGAUGACACAAGCCUUUUAUGCGGGAAUCAAAGAAGAACAUGAGAGGCCAGAACACCGGAUUGAAACCAGCAAUUUGACCUUUAAAAGGUAUAAAGUACUGCUUUUAGGUUUAAAUAGUUAACUGCACAAGCCAGAGACACACAGCUUGGUAGCACACUUCUAGCAAAAAAUCC
rnacentral:lncRNA from 1 species